rnacentral:lncRNA from 1 species
CAGACUGAGGGCGAAACAGCAGGCAGGACUGGGUGGAGACGUUCGGGGACGUGGCAACUGGAGUUUCUUCUCCGUAUAUUUCGGCAUUCAGUUCCUUUUUUUUUUUGUUUUAACUCAGGAAAAAAUCUCAAUUGCGUUUAGUAUUUUGAAAGCCACUUUAUUGCUUCCCGAGCCUCAGUCAUGUGUGGUGGGAGGCUGCUGUGGGUGGCACCUGGGGCGUCCACGGCCGCCAAGGCGGGAGGACGUCAGGCCCUGCUUGCUCCCACCCCUUCCAGGUGAGAGCUCCCGGGCACGCCCGUCGUUGGCUCUUCGUCCUCUUGGUGUUCUUCCCUGUUGCUUCAAAUCAGGUUCCUGUCUCAAAAAUCCGAAAAAGAAAUCCUCCCAAAUGACUCUGUGCCCGACGCUCCGUUAAGGCAUCGUGCUAGGCGUUCUCAAACUCGUGAAAUGACUACACUGCACAGGUUAACCUCAUUGCUACUCUUCCCCUUGCCUCCUAAUUCUCUGGUUAAACUUCCGCCCCCGAGGUUUCUAGAAAUCCCUGAGCUGGAAUGCGCUGCCUUCAUUAAGAGGGUGUUCUGCUUCCGUCUGCUCACAUUCAUCUAGUAAGCCCUCUCGUUAAAGAGGAGGCAGCACACCGAGGCCUGUCUAGAACUUCUUUCAUUUAACCAACAGUGAAUAUCUAAUCUACAAGAAACUGGAGCCGUGGCAGUUUAGGAGCCUGCCAAGGUUGCAUCCCUGGGAGCUUAUUUUCUAUUGUGGGAGACAGGAAAAGAACAAGUGAAUCAACUGUGAAAUUAAAUAAUUCAAACUUAAAGCUGUUGGAACUUUAAAUUAUUCUGAGCCUUGCGAAGAAUGUGGCGAUGGGGCCUGAGUCCCAUGGCAUACAGCUGCAAUGUCUGCCUUGUUUUUUCCUAUAAUCAGGAAGACCAAACAGAGACAGAGUUCUGGUUAAAUCACACAAGUCCCUGGCAUGAGACCAAGAAGUCACAGAGCCCAGGUCUUAGCCCUCAGAGUGUGAGAGAAGACAUGAAGGCAUCAGGGACACUGUGCGAGUGGGCACUGCUGCUUUCCACUGCUCUCCCUAGACUGCAGCCAGGAGGCUGCCUCUGCCCUGCCAGGCGCACACACCAAGAAAGGCCAUGUGGGCACACAGCAAGAUGGUGCCUGUCUGCAAACUAGGAAAAGAGCCCUCACCAGGAACUGAAACAGCUGGCACCUUGAUGUUGGACUUUCCAGCCUCCACAACUGUGAGAGCUUCAAGCACUGUCUGUCUCAGCAAAGAAAAGCUCUGGAUGGGAGCCAGGAAGCCCCAGUAUUGAAGCUUCAGACCAGCUCACAUGUUGUUGCACAUGAAGGAUUCCAGUCUGUGGAAGGGAUUAUUAACUGGAGAAAAU